rnacentral:rRNA from 1 species
UACGUAGGCAGCAAGCGUUGUUCGGAGUUACUGGGCGUAAAGAGUGUGUAGGCGGUUCGCUAAGUUUGGUGUGAAAUCUCCCGGCUUAACUGGGAGGGUGCGCCGAAAACUGGUGGGCUAGAGUGUGGGAGAGGGAAGCGGAAUUCAUGGUGUAGCGGUGAAAUGCGUAGAUAUCAUGAGGAACACCUGUGGUGUAGACGGCUUCCUGGACCACAACUGACGCUGAGACACGAAAGCGUGGGGAGCAAACAGG